rnacentral:rRNA from 1 species
GAUGAACGCUGGCGGCGUGCUUAACACAUGCAAGUCGAACGAAGCACCUGGUCACGAUCCCUUCGGGGUGACGACCUUGUGACUGAGUGGCGGACGGGUGAGUAACGCGUGGGAAACCUGCCAUGUACUGGGGGAUAACAGUUGGAAACGGCUGCUAAUACCGCAUAAAACUGUCGGAUCGCAUGAUUUGAUAGCCAAAACUCCGGUGGUACAUGAUGGUCCCGCGUCUGAUUAGGCAGUUGGCGGGGUAACGGCCCACCAAACCGACGAUCAGUAGCCGACCUGAGAGGGUGACCGGCCACAUUGGGACUGAGACACGGCCCAAACUCC